UGUCAACAAUAUCUUACUACGGUAUUAAUAGGUUCUGGAUUCGCUAGCUAGCCCCGGGCCAAAUAGAGUUUACAUAACCCUUGAAGAGGGUUCACCAACUCAAAGCCACAAAAAUUAACAAAUGCAGAUGCAGCAAGGUAUGGUACCAUUAAGUGCCAGAUUUCAGGCGGCAUCGGCAGAACAAAAAAGCUAAAAGUUAUGAGCUACUCUAUGUCUAGCUGAAGAGAUAACUCUUCCUCAACUUUGUCAUUAUCCACCUGUAAACCAUUCACGUCCCAGCUAUUUAAGUUGUGAUUUGCAGAGAGCACAUUUUUCUUUGCUAACCGUCAAAC